CACUCCUGCGGGAGGCAGCAGUGGGGAAUUUUGGACAAUGGGCGAAAGCCUGAUCCAGCAAUGCCGCGUGAGUGAAGAAGGCCUUCGGGUUGUAAAGCUCUUUUGUCAGGGAAGAAACGGUGAAAGCUAAUAUCUUUUGCUAAUGACGGUACCUGAAGAAUAAGCACCGGCUAACUACGUGCCAGCAGCCGCGGUAAUACGUAGGGUGCAAGCGUUAAUCGGAAUUACUGGGCGUAAAGCGUGCGCAGGCGGUUUUGUAAGUCUGAUGUGAAAUCCCCGGGCUCAACCUGGGAAUUGCAUUGGAGACUGCAAGGCUAGAAUCUGGCAGAGGGGGGUAGAAUUCCACGUGUAGCAGUGAAAUGCGUAGAUAUGUGGAGGAACACCGAUGGCGAAGGCAGCCCCCUGGGUCAAGAUUGACGCUCAUGCACGAAAGCGUGGGGAGCAAACAGGAUUAGAAACCCUAGUAGUCCCAUGAU
rnacentral:rRNA from 1 species